rnacentral:rRNA from 1 species
UACGUAGGGGACGAGCGUUGUCCGGAAUUACUGGUGCGUAAAGGGCGCGCAGGCUGUAGAUCAAGUCAGCUGUGAAAUGUCUGGGCCUUAACCCGGGCAUGCGGUUGAAACUGAUGUACUGGAGUGCUGUAGAGGCAAGUGGAAUUCCCAGUGUAGCGGUGAAAUGCGUAGAUAUUGGGAGGAAUACCAGUGGCGAAGGCUGCUUUCUGGACUGACCCUGACGCUGAGGUGCGAAAGCGUGGGUAGCAAACAGGAUUA